CUCGGGAGGGUCACUGCUCUGUAAGCGCGCACUGAGUCUUGCGGGAGGAACUGGUUUGGAGCUGGCCCUCUCGGACUCCUGGAAGUUGCAAGAACGAUGGGAGAGGCCUCUCUUAGGAUGGCUCACUCCAGGGAGCGAGGGCACCAAGGGCCUUUGAGAGGUCUCGAUUGCAUUUACAUGUCAUUUCGCCAUCUCCUGUUCUCGGCUGAGUCCAGAGACCAGAAGUGAGUCUAAGGCAUCAAAGCGGAAAUGUACCCACACCCCAAGCCCGGCGCCAGUGUGCAAGUGAACCCCAAAGCACCUCUGGGCAGAAGGUCUGACUCUCCUGGGAAACAUGAGAUGAGCUAAGCCCCCAGAUCCGUGCUGUGCUUCUCAAGAGCAGCAGUAUUUAGGGCGACUGACCUCGACUCCUCUCACAAGAUGAGCUCAGUUUUGAAAGAAAAAAAAGCAACGACAACAAAAACUCCAGACAAAACGAAAAGCCAAGUCAGGAGAGAGGGGAAAGAGAAAGACAAAUGGGAUGGCAUCACUCACUGAUGAAGUCAUUAUUGCCCAGAAAGGAAGCCGUUCUGUCCGCACGUGGGGGUGUCUCCUAGAAGGGUUCUUUGGCUAAAGAAAGGAACACUUGCACUUUCCUUUCCAAUUUGGUAAGGACAGCUCUGGCCUGCUCCAUGCUGAGGCUCCCCCACCUGAAAUCUCUAAGACACACCGGAAAGAGAAGACAAAGCCCGGGAGAGAAGUGCGUACGGGGCCAGGGGCCGGAAUGCUCAUGGCAGCGUCACUUGGGCUGGCGUUGACAAGUGCCUCUCGGCUGCCCCAGGACACCUAGUUUCCCUCUUCUCUCUGCGUUCUGUCCCAGCAGCUACUCAUCAGGCCAGCAAGAGCCCUCCCCGCAUCCCAUCCUGCCCCCAGCACCAGAGUCCCCAGGCCGAAAGCCGGGGCCAGCCGGUCGACGCCCCUCGUUUCAUCAACCACAGCCCAUCAGCAAUAGUUCCUUACACGCACUCGCACAACCCAAAUCCUCCAGCACAAGCUUGUUCAAAAAUGAGUGUCUGCAAUUCCAAAGCUCUGGUCACGGGAAAAUCCGCCUGUCAGCGGCUGGGCUCAUCUCACCUUCCCUUCCUUCCAUCCAACAAUCUGGUGUUUGGGCGGGUUGAACCUGCCAGGGUGAGGAGGACAAGGCCAGCUGGCCACCACAGCCUGCCGGCCACCCACCGCCAGUAAGGCCAGAACGCAAAUCCAGUCCAGGAGACAACCGUCCGUUUGGCCCCACCCUUCCUUCCCUCUGAACCCCACAAACCACAUGCUCCACUUGACAGUAUUCACUGGCAUCAAGCCUCAGACCCUCCCACCCAUCAGCUGGCUCACCCCUUCCCUUAGAAAUGGCCAAAACAUCACCAAAUAGGCACUAAGCACCUAGACGGCCGCAAAGACCCAGAUGGGUCCGCAAGACCCCACGGAGCAGAAGCCAAUCCACCUGUGGUUUCUGAGGCUCCACUUACGACACUCUCCUGGACCUUCCUUUCUUCCCUCUUAGCCUCAGCCACGUUUCUUCAGUAAAGAAAGACGGAGCUAACUCCAGAGCAGGUGGCCUUCUAGGUUAUCUGUGGUCUAACAAGGACUCCACUGGCAUCCCUCUACUUGAGAGCUGGGUCCUAGGGGCUGGCAGCCCUUUAUCCAUCCUACUUGCCAGGGCGACUCAGAGGACGGGGUGAGAGCACACGCAGAGGCUGGCUUCUC
ensembl:lncRNA